AGUGAACGCUGGCGGUAGGCCUAACGCAUGCAAGUCGAACGGCAGCACAGUAAGAGCUUGCUCUUACGGGUGGCGAGUGGCGGACGGGUGAGGAAUACAUCGGAAUCUACUUUUUCGUGGGGGAUAACGUAGGGAAACUUACGCUAAUACCGCAUACGACCUACGGGUGAAAGCAGGGGAUCUUCGGGCCUUGCGCGAUUGAAUGAGCCGAUGUCGGAUUAGCUAGUUGGCGGGGUAAAGGCCCACCAAGGCGACGAUCCGUAGCUGGUCUGAGAGGAUGAUCAGCCACACUGGAACUGAGACACGGUCCAGACUCCUACGGGAGGCAGCAGUGGGGAAUAUUGGACAAUGGGCGCAAGCCUGAUCCAGCCAUACCGCGUGGGUGAAGAAGGCCUUCGGGUUGUAAAGCCCUUUUGUUGGGAAAGAAAAGCAGCAGGUUAAUACCCCGCUGUUCUGACGGUACCCAAAGAAUAAGCACCGGCUAACUUCGUG
rnacentral:rRNA from 1 species